CAGCAGCCGCGGGAACACGAAGGGGGCUAGCGUUGUUCGGAAUUACUGGGCGUAAAGCGCACGUAGGCGGAUAUUUAAGUCAGGGGUGAAAUCCCGCAGCUCAACUGCGGAACUGCCUUUGAUACUGGGUAUCUUGAGUAUGGAAGAGGUUAGUGGAAUUGCGAGUGUAGAGGUGAAAUUCGUAGAUAUUCGCAGGAACACCAGUGGCGAAGGCGGCUAACUGGUCCAUAACUGACGCUGAGGUGCGAAAGCGUGGGGAGCAAACAGGAUUAGAUACCCCAGUAGUCCCUGUCUCUUAUAC
rnacentral:rRNA from 1 species